rnacentral:rRNA from 1 species
UACGUAGGGUGCGAGCGUUAAUCGGAAUUACUGGGCGUAAAGCGUGCGCAGGCGGCGCGGUAAGACAGGUGUGAAAGCCCCGAGCUUAACUUGGGAAUUGCGCUUGUGACUGGCGAGCUGGAGUGUGGCAGAGGGAGGUGGAAUUCCACGUGUAGCAGUGAAAUGCGUAGAGAUGUGGAGGAACACCGAUGGCGAAGGCAGCCUCCUGGGCCAGCACUGACGCUCAUGCACGAAAGCGUGGGGAGCAAACAGG